CUCGUGUAACUCUCUCUCUCUCCGACGCAAUCGUCUUUCUCCCUCAGCGGUGGCUAUUCAUCCAAGCUUAACUCCACGAUUCACAUCCACGAGAUGUUCACAUAUUAACUGGUGAAAAUAAUUGAACAGAGAAAAUCCAAUGAUGCAGAAGUCGAGUCACUGCGAGAGCAAUACCAUCAAAGGGUUGCAACACUUGAAAGGAAGGUGUAUGCUCUUACAAAGGAAAGGGACACGCUUCGGCGGGAGCAGAAUAAGAAAAGUGAUGCAGCUGCUCUUCUGAAGGAAAAGGAUGAAAUAAUUAAUCAAGUUAUGGCUGAAGGUCUCUUUCUGUCCCUGUCUGUCUCUGUUUCUCUUGAGAAGCUCAAUAUGUUCUACAUAUUUUGUGCCUCAUAGUGAAUUUCCGUUACUUGUAAAUCAUGAUUUCCUUAGCGUAUUUAAUUGCAUUGUGUUUCUCGUUUCGGGUAGAACAGAGUUUUCAAUGAUAGGAUUUAUUUGGAAAAAAGGAAUUCUGGUAGUUAUGCUGUGUUCUCUAUUUUUGCAUGAAAGUUGAAAGUAAGA